AAGGGGAGCCCCAGAUCCUGGGCUGUGUCCCCCAGCGCCCUGAGCUCUAGGGCCUGGACCACUGGAAUCGCACUCCCAGGCCACGCAGCCCCCU
rnacentral:pre_miRNA from 1 species